rnacentral:rRNA from 1 species
UACAUAUGGUGCAAGCGUUAUCCGGAUUUACUGGGCGUAAAGGGAGCGCAGGCGGCGCGCCAAGUCUGAUGUGAAACCCCGGGGCUCAACCCCGGGCAUGCAUUGGAAACUGGCGGGCUGGAGUGCCGGAGAGGUAAGCGGAAUUCCUAGUGUAGCGGUGAAAUGCGUAGAUAUUAGGAGGAACACCAGUGGCGAAGGCGGCUUACUGGACGGCAACUGACGCUGAGGCUCGAAAGCGUGGGGAGCAAACAGG